GUAGAUGAGAAUGUUUCUGGAGAGCAGAGCCACUUCAGCCCUCAUGUCGACUCCAUCUAUGAUCUCUCCAACAUGGUUAUACUGAGGCUUCCCUGGGCAGAACAGACAGACAGGAGUCUUGGUCAUAUGCUACAACUAGAUUCCCUCAUACGCUGUUUCUCACCAUUCUUCCACUCGCUGAAGGCGGUGACUGAGAAGCCCACUCCGUCCACGGUGGUGAAGUUCCGCCUUGCCAGAGCUCUCCCUCCUGUGUCGUGGUUUUCAUGCUCCCUAACGUCCUCUGAACAUGACGCGUUACCACCGCCUACAACAGAGACCAAAGCCCACGCCUGUCUGGAGAGACCAGAGGGAUGAAGAGAAAAGUGGGAGAGUCACAAAGGAGAGGGAAUCAUUUUCAGGCGUUACUGUGCAAAGAGUACUUUCACACAUCCAUAUCAAAGAACAAUGAAAAAAUGACGAUGAAAAUGACCUUGACGUGUAGCUGAUAGUGACUCCAAGCUCACUGUCAACACUCAUUACUGGUUCAUUAUUACAUCACUUGUUUUUUUACAUCAGCUGGCUCACAUUUGGGCACAAACAUAAACACACAGAAAUAACAAUAAGAACAUCAUGACACUUCACAUGGCCGAUUCAAUCACAGUCUUGUAGUUUUAUGUCAAAUCCUAUUAAUGAGAAUAUAACUUUGCACCAAAACUUAUUUGGGACAAACGACCCUAACCAACAUUUUAAGCAACUUGAAGGUAAUGGUAGCUGCAGUAGCUAGAGGCAGCACCAGAAUUAGUGGACCGGUCUCAGUGUAGGAGGGUUUCAGUGAAACAGUCAACAGGAGUAUUAAAAUCAAGUUUACGUAAUAUCUUACAGAUGUGACAGUUAGUCCGAUAAAGGGUGUGGCCUGAACUGCAUAAUAAAGUUUCUCUGUGUUUGA